GAUGAACGCUAGCGGCAGGCCUAACACAUGCAAGUCGAGGGAGAGGUUACCUUCGGGUAACCAAAACCGGCGCACGGGUGCGUAACGCGUAUACAAUCUGCCUUUCACAUAGGGAUAGCCCGAAGAAAUUUGGAUUAAUACCUAAUGGUAUAUAAGAGCGGCAUCGUUUUUAUAUUAAAGCUACGGUGGUGAAAGAUGAGUAUGCGUUCUAUUAGCUAGUUGGAGAGGUAACGGCUCCCCAAGGCGACGAUAGAUAGGGGUUCUGAGAGGGAUGUCCACCACACUGGUACUGAGAUACGGACCAGACUCCUACGGGAGGCAGCAGUGAGGAAUAUUGGACAAUGGUCGGAAGACUGAUCCAGCCAUGCCGCGUGCAGGAUGAAGGUACUAUGGAUUGUAAACUGCUUUUGUAAGGGAAGAAUAAGGAGUACGUGUACUUUGAUGACGGUACCUUACGAAUAAGCAUCGGCUAACUACGUG
rnacentral:rRNA from 1 species